CCUCUUCGAUUUUGGAGCAAGCAAUCUUGUUGGGAGUGUUUUCUCGAAUGUGAGUAAAGGUUGGGCAUGUUUGCUAGUCUACCUUGCCACGAAGCACAGAGGUUGACACACAGGGAUUUUCCAAUUAUCCAGCAAUGGUACUGUUCCUUUACCCUCUCUUCGAUUUUUGAGAAAGUAGUCAUGUUGGGAGUCUGGCUCUCGAGAUUCGGAGGACGGUGCCUCUUCGAUUUUGGAGCAAGCAAUCUUAUUGGUAGUGUUUUCUCGAGUGUGAGUAAAUGUUGGGCAUGUUUGCUAGUCUACCUUGCCACGAAGCACAGAGGUUGACACACAGAGACUUUCCAAUUAUCCAGCAGUGGUACUGUUCCUUUACCCUUGUGGGUAAUAAUAUGGUAGCUAGACCUUCAAAAUUUAUGGGUCUAAACUUUGUU
rnacentral:lncRNA from 1 species